rnacentral:rRNA from 1 species
UACGUAGGGUGCAAGCGUUGUCCGGAAUUAUUGGGCGUAAAGAGCUCGUAGGCGGUUUGUCGCGUCUGCUGUGAAAACUCGGGGCUUAACCCCGGGCCUGCAGUGGGUACGGGCAGACUAGAGCGCGGUAGGGGAGACUGGAAUUCCUGGUGUAGCGGUGGAAUGCGCAGAUAUCAGGAGGAACACCGGUGGCGAAGGCGGGUCUCUGGGCCGUAACUGACGCUGAGGAGCGAAAGCGUGGGGAGCGAACAGG